GAAAUGCGAUAAUUAAUGUGAAUUGCAGAAUUCAGUGAAUCAUCGAGUCUUUGAACGCACAUUGCGCCCCCUGGUAUUCCGGGGGGCAUGCCUGUCCGAGCGUCAUUGCUGCCCUCAAGCACGGCUUGUGUGUUGGGCUUCCGUCCCUGGCAACGGGGACGGGCCCAAAAGGCAGUGGCGGCACCAUGUCUGGUCCUCGAGCGUAUGGGGCUUUGUCACCCGCUCCCGUAGGUCCAGCUGGCAGCUAGCCUCGCAACCAAUCUUUUUAACCAGGUUGACCUCGGAUCAGGUAGGGAUACCAGCUGAACUUAAGC
rnacentral:misc_RNA from 1 species